CCUACGGGGCGCUGCAGUGGGGAAUAUUGGACAAUGGGCGAAAGCCUGAUCCAGCCAUGCCGCGUGUGUGAAGAAGGCCUUCGGGUUGUAAAGCACUUUCAGUGGGGAAGAAAGCCUUGGGGCUAAUACCCUCGAGGAAGGACAUCACCCACAGAAGAAGCACCGGCUAACUCCGUGCCAGCAGCCGCGGUAAUACGGAGGGUGCGAGCGUUAAUCGGAAUUACUGGGCGUAAAGCGCGCGUAGGCGGUCUGAUAAGCCGGUUGUGAAAGCCCCGGGCUCAACCUGGGAACGGCAUCCGGAACUGUCAGGCUAGAGUGCAGGAGAGGAAGGUAGAAUUCCCGGUGUAGCGGUGAAAUGCGUAGAGAUCGGGAGGAAUACCAGUGGCGAAGGCGGCCUUCUGGACUGACACUGACGCUGAGGUGCGAAAGCGUGGGUAGCAAACAGGACUAGAUACCCCGGUAGUC
rnacentral:rRNA from 1 species